rnacentral:rRNA from 1 species
CACGUAGGGUGCGAGCGUUGUCCGGAAUUAUUGGGCGUAAAGAGCUCGUAGGCGGUGUGUCGCGUCGGCCGUGAAAACCUGCAGCUUAACUGUGGGCUUGCGGUCGAUACGGGCAUCACUGGAGUUCGGCAGGGAGACUGGAAUUCCUGGUGUAGCGGUGAAAUGCGCAGAUAUCAGGAGGAACACCGGUGGCGGAAGGCGGGUCUCUGGGCCGAAUACUGACGC